rnacentral:sRNA from 1 species
GCGGAGGAAAAGAAACCAACAGGGAUUGCCCUAGUAACGGCGAGUGAAGCGGCAACAGCUCAAAUUUGAAAUCUGGCUCUUUCAGAGUCCGAGUUGUAAUUUGCAGAGGGCGCUUUGGCGUUGGCAGCGGUCCAAGUUCUUUGGAACAGGACGUCACAGAGGGUGAGAAUCCCGUACGUGGUCGCUAUCCUUCGCCGUGUAAAGCCCCUUCGACGAGUCGAGUUGUUUGGGAAUGCAGCUCUAAAUGGGAGGUAAAUUUCUUCUAAAGCUAAAUACUGGCCAGAGACCGAUAGCGCACAAGUAGAGUGAUCGAAAGAUGAAAAGCACUUUGGAAAGAGAGUCAAAUAGCACGUGAAAUUGUUGAAAGGGAAGCGCUUGCAGCCAGACUUGCCUGUAGUUGCUUAUCCGGACUCUUGUCCGGUGCACUCUUCUAUAGGCAGGCCAGCAUCAGUUUGGGCGGUUGGAUAAAGGUCUCUGUCACGUACCUCCUUUCGGGGAGGCCUUAUAGGGGAGACGACAUGCAACCAGCCUGGACUGAGGUCCGCGCAUCUGCUAGGAUGCUGGCGUAAUGACUGUAAGCGGCCCGUCUUGAAACACGGACCAAGGAGUCUAACAUCUAUGCGAGUGUUUGGGUGUCAAGCCCAGACGCGUAAUGAAAGUGAACGGAGGUAGGAACCCUUUGGGUGCACUAUCGACCGAUCCUGAUGUCUUCGGAAGGAUUUGAGUAAGAGCAUGGCUGUUGGGACCCGAAAGAUGGUGAACUAUGCUUGAAUAGGGUGAAGCCAGAGGAAACUCUGGUGGAGGCUCGCAGCGGUUCUGACGUGCAAAUCGAUCGUCAAAUUUGGGCAUAGGGGCGAA